rnacentral:rRNA from 1 species
AGGGUGUAAACGCUGCAGACUUGGUGUUGGAGGCCCUUUGGGGGCAUUCAGUGCCGGAGAGAAGUUGUUAAGUCUGCUACUUGGGGAGUACGUCCGCAAGGAUGAAACUUAAAGGAAUUGGCGGGGGAGCACCGCAACGGGAGGAGCGUGCGGUUUAAUUGGAUUCAACACCGUAAAACUCACCAGGGAAGACUGUUACAUGAAGGCCGAGAUGAAGACUCUGCUAGAUUUUCAGAGAGGAGGUGCAUGGCGUCAGUG